rnacentral:rRNA from 1 species
GACGAACGCUGGCGGCGUGCUUAACACAUGCAAGUCGAACGGUGAAGCGCCUUCCUUUUUGGUGGGUGUGGAUGAGUGGCGAACGGGUGAGUAACACGUGAGUAACCUGCCCCCUUCUUCUGGAUAACCACAUGAAAGUGUGGCUAAUACGGGAUAUUCUGGGUCUGUCGCAUGAUGGGUCUGGGAAAGAUAUUGUUUCGGUGGGGGAUGGGCUCGCGGCCUAUCAGCUUGUUGGUGGGGUGAUGGCCUACCAAGGCGGUGACGGGUAGCCGGCCUGAGAGGGUGGACGGUCACACUGGGACUGAGACACGGCCCAGACUCCUACGGGAGGCAGCAGUGGGGAAUAUUGCACAAUGGGCGCAAGCCUGAUGCAGCGACGCCGCGUGAGGGAUGGAGGCCUUCGGGUUGUGAACCUCUUUCGCCAGUGAAGCAGGCCUGCCUCGUUUGUGGGUGGGUUGACGGCAGCUGGAUAAGAAGCGCCGGCUAACUACGUG